rnacentral:tRNA from 1 species
GCCAGCAUGGCAUAUUGGUUUGAGUGUUGGACUCUGACUCUGGAGACCAGGCUUCGAAUCCCAGCUCAGUCA